UCUGAUGCUAGGAUAUAAGGGAGUUUCACCUAAUCGUUAUGAACUUAUAUUCACAAGUAGUGAAGGUUGCUCAUCACAACCGUGUUAAGUAAAUUCUUGGCAUAAGUUUCAUGCAAUUCAUAGUUACAAGUGUUUCGUCAAUGCUUAUGAUUUUCAUAGAACUUAAUGAUUUUUGCUUGUAUCUCUAUUAUGCAAUUCAUGUAGGGAACUUGUGGGGAAUGCUUUGGGUUGUUGUAUGCAAUCAUCCAAUUCAAUGAAAUUAGGAAAAUCUAAGGGUUAAUUAGUGCAAUUCACAGUUAAUCUGGGGCGUUGAGAAUUCAUGGUUGAUUGAAAAGCAACUGGACAUCGUUUUGUUUGCAAGUGUGUCAUGUGUGGAGAAGAACCUCCUAGCUAACCUAUCAUCCAUCGUUUUACCCAAAUUCGUGCAGAUUUCAUUAGUUCUUUAAUUUACUUGUUUUGUUUUCAAUUUCGUCAAAACCAAACCCCCCUUUACCUU
rnacentral:lncRNA from 1 species